UACGUAGGUGGCAAGCGUUGUCCGGAAUUAUUGGGCGUAAAGCGCGCGCAGGCGGUCUCUUAAGUCUGAUGUGAAAUCCCGUGGCUUAACCACGGGCGGUCAUUGGAAACUGGGGGACUUGAGUGCAGAAGAGAAGAGCGGAAUUCCACGUGUAGCGGUGAAAUGCGUAGAUAUCUGGAGGAACACCGGUGGCGAAGGCGGCAUCCUGGACCGAUAUUGACGCUGAGGAGCGAAAGCCAGGGGAGCAAACGGG
rnacentral:rRNA from 1 species